UGGGUAACCUGCCUCAAAGAGGGGAAUAGCCUCCCGAAAAGGGAGAUUAAUACCGCAUAAUAUGUUUUAAUCGCAUGAUUUUAACAUCAAAGGAUUUUCUUAGGAAAUUCCACUUUGAGAUGGACCCGCGGCGCAUUAGCUAGUUGGUGAGGUAACGGCUCACCAAGGCAACGAUGCGUAGCCGACCUGAGAGGGUGAUCGGCCACAUUGGAACUGAGACACGGUCCAGACUCCGUAGGGAGG
rnacentral:rRNA from 1 species